UACGUAGGGACCGAGCGUUGUCCGGAUUCAUUGGGCGUAAAGAGCUCGUAGGCGGCCACUCAAGUCGAAUGUGAAACCUCGAGGCUUAACCUCGAGCCUGCAUUCGAUACUGGGCGGCUAGAGUCUGGUAGGGGGAUCUGGAAUUCCUGGUGUAGCGGUGGAAUGCGUAGAUAUCUGGAGGAACACCGGUGGCGAAGGCGGCAUCCUGGACCAACACUGACACUGAGGAGCGAAAGCCAGGGGAGCAAACGGG
rnacentral:rRNA from 1 species